AGCAAAGAUAAGAAGAGAAAAAGAGAAGAUGAAGAAACCCAGCUUGAUAUGUUGGAAAACUUUGAAAAAAAUAAAUGUACAUUAAUUAACGUGGAAUCUGGUGAACAGUAACAAACUUUGGUGAAAUUUCAGGAACAAUCGCCCUGAAACCUGGCUAUGGAAAAUAUCUUAGUAUAAAUUCAGAUGAACUUGUUGUUGGCGUUCAGAUGCAAUUGGACCAAGAGAACAAUGGGAACCAGUC
rnacentral:lncRNA from 1 species